ACCUCGGUAGCUUAGUUAGUAGAGCAACAGGGCGUAAACCUGAGAUACCUGGGUUCGUAUCCCAGUCGAGGUU